UACGUAGGGUGCAAGCGUUGUCCGGAAUUAUUGGGCGUAAAGAGCUUGUAGGCGGUUUGUCGCGUCUGCUGUGAAAUUUCGGGGCUCAACCCCGAACUUGCAGUGGGUACGGGCAGACUAGAGUGUGGUAGGGGAGACUGGAGUUCCUGGUGUAGCGGUGAAAUGCGCAGAUAUCAGGAGGAACACCGGUGGCGAAGGCGGGUCUCUGGGCCGAUACUGACGCUGAGGAGCGAAAGCGUGGGGAGCGAACAGG
rnacentral:rRNA from 1 species